AGAGUUUGAUCAUGGCUCAGAUUGAACGCUGGCGGCAUGCUUUACACAUGCAAGUCGAACGGUAACAGGUCUUCGGAUGCUGACGAGUGGCGAACGGGUGAGUAAUACAUCGGAACGUGCCUAGUAGUGGGGGAUAACUACUCGAAAGAGUAGCUAAUACCGCAUGAGAUCUACGGAUGAAAGCAGGGGACCUUCGGGCCUUGUGCUACUAGAGCGGCUGAUGGCAGAUUAGGUAGUUGGUGGGGUAAAGGCUUACCAAGCCUGCGAUCUGUGGCUGGUCUGAGAGGACGACCAGCCACACUGGGACUGAGACACGGCCCAGACUCCUACGGGAGGCAGCAGUGGGGAAUUUUGGACAAUGGGCGAAAGCCUGAUCCAGCAAUGCCGCGUGCAGGAUGAAGGCCCUCGGGUUGUAAACUGCUUUUGUACGGAACGAAAAGCCUGGGGCUAAUAUCCCCGGGUCAUGACGGUACCGUAAGAAUAAGCACCGGCUAACUACGUGCCAGCAGCCGCGGUAAUACGUAGGGUGCAAGCGUUAAUCGGAAUUACUGGGCGUAAAGCGUGCGCAGGCGGUUUUGUAAGACAGUGGUGAAAUCCCCGGGCUCAACCUGGGAACUGCCAUUGUGACUGCAAGGCUAGAGUGCGGCAGAGGGGGAUGGAAUUCCGCGUGUAGCAGUGAAAUGCGUAGAUAUGCGGAGGAACACCGAUGGCGAAGGCAAUCCCCUGGGCCUGCACUGACGCUCAUGCACGAAAGC
rnacentral:rRNA from 1 species